AAUUCAUUCCACCAAAAUUCCUUCAUUUUAUAUUUUUAUUAAUGUAUUUAAUUUUGGUUUUACUUUGAAAUUAUUACUUUAAGGAACGAUAAUCUGUAUAAUAGGGGAAAGUUUAAUUUUACUUUGGCGGGUAUAACCUGUGACAUCACUUCCUCCUUCCUCACAAUGUUCGUUACUGCAAUGGAGGAAGGUGAGUUUUCAUGAAGGUUUUGUCAAUUUCUUUUGUUUAAUUAAUGUAAUAGGAAAAAAUGUUUAGUUGUGUUUAAGCUAACAUGUUCGUGAGUUGUUUAGUUAAACAUGGAACGAUUUUUAUCGAGUGAAACGUUUUUUUACUGUGGCAGCAUUUCUGUGAACAAGCUGACUGUUUUUGCCUGCGCAAUGCUAUUUUUUUUUAUGUGCUCCUUUUGUCAUGGGCAGGUGGCUUGAUGUCGGCUGGAUGUUUUUAUUUGCUGCUGAACAGUUUUGUUUCACUCUUUUCAGGUAUGUUAUUUCUUUUUUAUUUCUUUUUUUUAUUAUUGACUUAACUUUCUUGGUCUGUUCUGGAGUUUUGUUAUAUAUAUAUUUAUUUUUGUUUUCAAAAUGAACACAUUUUUAUCCAUGUUAGAUAUUCAUCGUGGAGGUUUGUUCGUGAUGUGUUUUGUAAUUUUUUUUUAUCUCUUUGGUCCUCAUUUAAAAUAUUUAAUGAGGUUAUUUCUAAUAAUAUCUGAUGUUAAAUAUGUAAUGAGCCUCACAAUGUUCGUUACUGCAAUGGAGGAAGGUGGCUUGAUGUCGGCUGGAUGUUUUUAUUUGCUGCUGAACAGUUUUGUUUCACUCUUUUCAGAAUAAACACGCCGUUUAUUGGCUGACUUGGAGUGGUUGAACGAGAGAUUAUUACACAACGCAGAGGCCGGUUACAUUGGUGCCGUGACCCGGAUUCAUCUUGGAUCAACAACAGCUUGGUCACCGAUGGGCUGCUGAUCGUCACAAGAGGUGGCUUGAUGUCGGCUGGAUGUUUUUAUUUGCUGCUGAACAGUUUUGUUUCACUCUUUUCAGGUAUGUUAUUUCUUUUUUAUUUCUUUUUUUUAUUAUUGACUUAACUUUCUUGGUCUGUUCUGGAGUUUUGUUAUAUAUAUAUUUAUUUUUGUUUUCAAAAUGAACACAUUUUUAUCCAUGUUAGAUAUUCAUCGUGGAGGUUUGUUCGUGAUGUGUUUUGUAAUUUUUUUUUAUCUCUUUGGUCCUCAUUUAAAAUAUUUAAUGAGGUUAUUUCUAAUAAUAUCUGAUGUUAAAUAUGUAAUGAGCCUCACAAUGUUCGUUACUGCAAUGGAGGAAGGUGGCUUGAUGUCGGCUGGAUGUUUUUAUUUGCUGCUGAACAGUUUUGUUUCACUCUUUUCAGAAUAAACACGCCGUUUAUUGGCUGACUUGGA